rnacentral:rRNA from 1 species
UAAUACCGCAUAAUGUUUUCGAACCAAACGGGGCUUAGGCUCCGGCGCAAAGAGAGGCCCAAGUGAGAUUAAGAGAGGCCCAAGUGAGAUUAGCUAGUUGGUAAGGUAACGGCUUACCAAGGCGACGAUCUCUAGCUGUUCUGAGAGGAAGAUCAGCCACACUGGGACUGAGACACGGCCCAGACUCCUACGGGAGGCAGCAGUGGGGAAUAUUGCACAAUGGGGGAAACCCUGAUGCAGCCAUGCCGCGUGUGUGAAGAAGGCCUUCGGGUUGUAAAGCACUUUCAGUUGUGAGGAAAAGUUAGUAGUUAAUACCUGCUAGCCGUGACGUUAACAACAGAAGAAGCACCGGCUAACUCCGUGCCAGCAGCCGCGGUAAUACGGAGGGUGCGAGCGUUAAUCGGAAUUACUGGGCGUAAAGCGCACGCAGGCGGUUUGUUAAGCUAGAUGUGAAAGCCCCGGGCUCAACCUGGGAUGGUCAUUUAGAACUGGCAGACUAAGAGUCUUGGAGAGGGGAGUGGAAUUCCAGGUGUAGCGGUGAAAUGCGUAGAUAUCUGGAGGAACAUCAGUGGCGAAGGCGACUCCCUGGCCAAAGACUGACGCUCAUGUGCGAAAGUGUGGGUAGCGAACAGGAUUAGAUACCCUGGUAGUCCACACCGUAAACGCUGUCUACUAGCUGUGUGUGCCUUUAAGGCGUGCGUAGCGAAGCUAACGCGCUAAGUAGACCGCCUGGGGAGUACGGCCGCAAGGUUAAAACUCAAAUGAAUUGACGGGGGCCCGCACAAGCGGUGGAGCAUGUGGUUUAAUUCGAUGCAACGCGAAGAACCUUACCUACACUUGACAUGCUGAGAAGUUACUAGAGAUAGUUUGGUGCCUUCGGGAACUCAGACACAGGUGCUGCAUGGCUGUCGUCAGCUCGUGUCGUGAGAUGUUGGGUUAAGUCCCGCAACGAGCGCAACCCUUUGUCCCUUAGUUGCCAGCCUUUAAGUUGGGCACUCUAAGGAGACUGCCGGUGACAAACCGGAGGAAGGGUGGGGACGACGUCAAGUUCAUCAUGGCCCCUUACGUGUAGGGGCUACACACGUGCUACAAUGGCAUUUACAGAGGGAAGC